GGUAAGAUGGUCGAGAGCAGGCAGCGGGUUGUAGCCCCGAGUACAAAGGUUUAAGUCCUUUUCUUAUCA
rnacentral:tRNA from 1 species